rnacentral:rRNA from 1 species
GACAGAGGAUGCAAGCGUUAUCCGGAAUGAUUGGGCGUAGAGUCGUCUGUAGGUGGCUUCAAGUCCGCCGUCAAAUCCCAGGGCUCAACCCUGGACAGGCGGUGGAAACUACCAAGCUGGAGUACGGUAGGGGCAGAGGGAAUUUCCGGUGGAGGCGGUGAAAUGCAUUGAGAUCGGAAAGAACACCAACGGCGAAAGCACUCGUGCGGCCGACACU